UNUGACUUGAGUGCAGAAGGGGAGAGUGGAAUUCCAUGUGUAGCGGUGAAAUGCGUAGAUAUAUGGAGGAACACCAGUGGCGAAAGCGGCUCUCUGGUCUGUCACUGACGCUGAGGCUNGAAAGCGUGGGUAGCGAACAGGAUUAGAUACCCUGGUAGUNCACGCCGUAAACGAUGAGUGCUAGGUGUUAGGCCCUUUCCGGGGCUUAGUGCCGGAGCUAACGCAAUAAGCACUCCGCCUGGGGAGUACGACCGCAAGGUUGAAACUCAAAGGAAUUGACGGGGGCCCGCACAAGCGGUGGAGCAUGUGGUUUAAUUCGAAGCAACGCGAAGAACCUUACCAGGUCUUGACAUCCCGAUGCUAUUCUUAGAGAUAGGAAGUUACUUCGGUACGUCGGAGACAGGUGGUGCAUGGUUGUCGUCAGCUCGUGUCGUGAGAUGUUGGGUUAAGUCCCGCAACGAGCGCAACCCUUAUUGUUAGUUGCCAUCAUUAAGUUGGGCACUCUAGCGAGACUGCCGGUAAUAAACCGGAGGAAGGUGGGGAUGACGUCAAAUCAUCAUGCCCCUUAUGACCUGGGCUACACACGUGCUACAAUGGUCGGUACAACGAGUUGCGAGCCGGUGACGGCAAGCUAAUCUCUGAAAGCCGAUCUCAGUUCGGAUUGGAGGCUGCAACUCGCCUCCAUGAAGUCGGAAUCGCUAGUAAUCGCGGAUCAGCACGCCGCGGUGAAUACGUUCCCGGGCCUUGUACACACCGCCCGUCACACCACGAGAGUUUGUAACACCCGAAGUCGGUGAGGUAACCUUUUAGGGG
rnacentral:rRNA from 1 species